CUAAGAUAGUAAGAGCAUACGGUGGAUGCCUUGGCGAUAUCUGCCGAUGAAGGACGCGACAAGCUGCGAAAAGCUGCGGAGAGGUGCAAAUGACCAUUGACCCGCAGAUCUCCGAAUGGAGCAAUCCGGCAGGGUUUAUCCCCUGUCACCCAUAUCUUCGAAUAUGGGAGGGAACCGGGCGAACUGAAACAUCUAAGUAGCCCGAGGAAGAGUAAUCAAACGAGAUACCCCAAGUAGCGGCGAGCGAACGGGGCCUAAGCCCAAACCGGUGAAGGAAACUUUGCCGGGGUUGAGGACUGCCAUACGAACUCGACCAUUAGCCGAAAUUCCUGGGAAGGAAUGCCGAAGAAUGUGAAAGCCAUGUAAGCGAAAAUGGAAAAGGGACAGGCAGCACCAGAGUACCGCGGGACACGAGAAACCCCGUGGGAAGCCGGGGGGACCACCCUCCAAGGCAAAACACAGAUAUCGACCGAUAGCGCAUAGUACCAUGAGGGAAAGGUGAAAAGCACCCCGGGAGGGGAAUGAAACAGAACCUGAAACCGUAUGUUUACAAGCAGUCGAAGACCGCUUAAUAAUAAGGUCAACGGCGUGCCUAUUGAAGAAUGAACCGGCGAGUUAUGAGGUCCAGCAAGGUUAAGCAGGAAAUGCGGAGCCGAAGCGAAAGCGAGUCUUAAUAGGGCGACAAGUUGGAUUGCAUAGACCCGAAACCACAGUGAUCUACCCAUGUCCAGGCUGAAGCACAGGUAAAAAUGUGUGGAGGGCCGAACCUAUAUCCGUUGAAAAGGGUUAGGAUGAGGUGUGGGUAGGGGUGAAAUUCCAAUCGAACGUGGAGAUAGCUGGUUCUCCCCGAAAUAGCUUUAGGGCUAGCCUCGAGGUAGAGAUUGCAGGCGGUAGAGCACUGAUCAGGAGAGGGGCCUACCCGGCUACCAAACCCAGUCAAACUACGAAUGGCUGCAAUUAUACUCGGGAGUCAGACUACGACUUAUAAGGGCCGUGGUCAAAAGGGAAACAGCCCAGAUCAUCAGCUAAGGUCCCAAAUGCCGUGCUAAGUGGCGAAGGAUGUGGCGUUUCAUAAACAACCAGGAUGUUGGCUCAGAAGCAGCCACCAUUUAAAGAGUGCGUAAUAGCUCACUGGUCGAGAGACGCUGCGCCGAAAAUGUCCGGGGCUCAAGCACGGAACCGAAGCUAUGGCAUUGACUAUGUCAAUGGGUAGGGGAGCGUUCUUAACAGGAAGAAGCAUGACCGGAAGGACAUGUGGACCGUUAAGAAGUGAGAAUGCCGGUAUGAGUAUCGAAAAGAAAGGUGAGAAUCCUUUCCACCGAAAGCCCGAGGGUUCCUGAGCAACGAUCGUCGUCUCAGGGUAAGUCGGGACCUAAGCCGAGGCGGAGACGCAUAGGCGAUGGACAACAGGUUGAAAUUCCUGUACCGGAUACAAUCGUUUGAGCGAUGGAGCGACGCAGAAAGGCAUAUGAUCGCGCGACUGGAAGAGCGCGUCCAAGUGCGUAUGUUGAAUCGGAGGCAAAUCCCUGAUUCUAAAAGCAGAGACACGAUGGGGAGUUAUACGAAAGUAUGACGAACUCAUAGAUCCUACACUGCCAAGAAAAACUUCUAGUGAGAAAGUAUCCGCCCGUACCGUAAACCGACACAGGUAGGCGGGGAGAGAAUCCUAAGGUGCGCGGGAAAACCCUCGUUAAGGAACUCGGCAAAUUGCAUCCGUAACUUAGGGAGAAGGAUGACCUUAAGUAAGCGAAAGGGAGAAACCCCUGGAACAGAACAAGGUGGCAGAAAAGAGGCCCAAGCAACUGUUUACCAAAAACACAGGUGCCUGCGAAAGCGAAAGCUGAAGUAUAGGUGCUGACGCCUGCCCGGUGCUGGAAGGUUAAGGAGAGAUGUCAGAGCAAUCGAAGCAUUGAACUGAAGCCCCAGUGAACGGCGGCCGUAACUAUAACGGUCCUAAGGUAGCGAAAUUCCUUGUCGGGUAAGUUCCGACCCGCAUGAAAGGCGUAAUGAUUUGGGCACUGUCUCAACGAGGGGCCCGGUGAAAUUGAAAUACCUGUGAAGAUGCAGGUUACCCGCGACUGGACAGAAAGACCCCAUGGAGCUUCACUGCAGCUUGAGAUUGAAUCUCGGUGAUGCAUGCACAGGAUAGGUGGGAGACUUUGAAGUAUGGGCUUUGGCUUAUACUGAGUCGAUGUUGGGAUACCACCCUUGUAUUGCUGAGAUUCUAACACGGAGGCUAACAACCUCGUGGACCAUCUCAGGUAGGCGGUUUGACUGGGGCGGUCGCCUCCGAAAGAGUAACGGAGGCG
rnacentral:rRNA from 1 species